CAUUUUUCUUAUUAGUAUAUGUUUAGAUUGCCCUUAGAAAUAGAUUUUGUCUAAAUUUGGUAUGUUAGCCUGAGUAAAUUCAGGUGGUGCUGAAGCCUUAAACCCGUUCGGGGUAAAGACAUAAUUUAGAUGAAAAGCUAUAUUAUACGUUUAGAGUUGUAAUUUGUUUUGUUUGUGUAAACGUCAUAUCCGUUGUUGCCUGGUUACUUCGUGACGUCAUCAUUGUGUGCCAUAUUGUCAUAUCCCAACCCAUAGUGAUAGUCUCAUUUAAUUAUUUCAUUUGUUUAUAUUAUUUUAAAUUAUUUAUUUUUAUUAAUUUAAUUAGAUCUGUAUUUUUUUUCACUUAAUGAUAGAAAGUGCGGGUAGGAUUCUUUCAUUGUGAAUCAGACUAAAAUAAUUUUAGUUUGAGCGGUUAAAAUCAAAUAUGAUUUUGCCAUGAGAAUAAUGCCGAAACUGGCUAUGUAGUCAAACACUAUCGUCUGGCUAAAUUUAGAUCUGCAAAUUGUUGUACACCUCUUUGGUACAAUUAAAUCAUCUAGACUCUAAUUUGAAAUAUUAUUAAUUGAAAAAUGAAUGAAGAUUACUGCCAGUGAAGAACAUUUGUGACGUGUGACGUGCCCAUAAGAUGCCACAUUUUCUUUUAUGAUGAACUGUGUACUAGUGAAGAUGAUUUUGGAAUGUUAUGAACUGUUAUGAACAUUGACAUGAAUAUGAGAAACUGUCAAGAUGAAGAUGUCAAGAUGAAGAGAUCAAGAUUUUAUGUUUGUGGUCUUCCCCUUAAAUUGAAAAUGCCUUUGUAAGACUUGACAGUAGUGGAAAAAUAUUGACAUAUUUUUUUUUCAAGGGGGGGAGGAAUCUGUUAGACACCUUAUUUAUAUAGGUUAGUUAUUUUAGUUAUUUAGCGACGCACCAUAGUAGACGCAUAUUGAACGGGACUAGUGACGUUUGGGAUAUGUUGGGUUAGAGACCGGAAAAUCAGUUAGCGAUAGAACAUUCCGAGGGUAACGACGUGUUUAGUGACAGAGACUUCUACUGUGGCCUUUUAUCAGAAUAAAUCUAUGUGAACUUGUU